GGUUAAGCGACUAAGCGUACACGGUGGAUGCCCUGGCAGUCAGAGGCGAUGAAGGACGUGCUAAUCUGCGAUAAGCGUCGGUAAGGUGAUAUGAACCGUUAUAACCGGCGAUUUCCGAAUGGGGAAACCCAGUGUGAUUCGUCACACUAUCAUUAACUGAAUCCAUAGGUUAAUGAGGCGAACCGGGGGAACUGAAACAUCUAAGUACCCCGAGGAAAAGAAAUCAACCGAGAUUCCCCCAGUAGCGGCGAGCGAACGGGGAGCAGCCCAGAGCCUGAAUCAGUGUGUGUGUUAGUGGAAGCGUCU
rnacentral:rRNA from 1 species